ensembl:rRNA 5S_rRNA 5S ribosomal RNA
GUCUAUGGACAUACCACCCUGAACGAACCUGGUCUCCUCUGAUCUUGGAAGCCAAGCGGGGUCGAGCCUGGUUAGUACUUGGAUGGGAGACCGCCUGGGCAUACCAGGUGCUGUAGGCU